GCGAACAGGAUUAGAUACCCUGGUAGUCCACGCUGUAAACGAUGUCGAUUUGGAGGUUGUGCCCUUGAGGCGUGGCUUCCGGAGCUAACGCGUUAAAUCGACCGCCUGGGGAGUACGGCCGCAAGGUUAAAACUCAAAUGAAUUGACGGGGGCCCGCACAAGCGGUGGAGCAUGUGGUUUAAUUCGAUGCAACGCGAAGAACCUUACCUACUCUUGACAUCCAGAGAACUUAGCAGAGAUGCUUUGGUGCCUUCGGGAACUCUGAGACAGGUGCUGCAUGGCUGUCGUCAGCUCGUGUUGUGAAAUGUUGGGUUAAGUCCCGCAACGAGCGCAACCCUUAUCCUUUGUUGCCAGCGGUUCGGCCGGGAACUCAAAGGAGACUGCCAGUGAUAAACUGGAGGAAGGUGGGGAUGACGUCAAGUCAUCAUGGCCCUUACGAGUAGGGCUACACACGUGCUACAAUGGCAUAUACAAAGAGAAGCGACCUCGCGAGAGCAAGCGGACCUCAUAAAGUAUGUCGUAGUCCGGAUUGGAGUCUGCAACUCGACUCCAUGAAGUCGGAAUCGCUAGUAAUCGUAGAUCAGAAUGCUACGGUGAAUACGUUCCCGGGCCUUGUACACACCGCCCGUCACACCAUGGGAGUGGGUUGCAAAAGAAGUAGGUAGCUUAACCUUCGGGAGGGCGCUUACCACUUUGUGAUUCAUGACUGG
rnacentral:rRNA from 1 species